AAAAAAUUAUGAAAUUUUAAUAUUUUUGAAAUAAAAGAAGGUAAAAAAAUACAAAAAUUGGAGAAAAAUACAGAAGGUAAUUAGUUAAUACAGACGAAAUUUAGUAAACUCCGUGAUUUUCUUUUCUAAGAGUUAUUUUUCUUGUAAUCAGUAAGGAUAAAUACCUUAUUAAAUCCAUACCUUUCGCAUCGGUUAAUCUAGUCGAGUUACAUAGGCUAAGCACUUUGAAAGUGAGAGGAAAUGUAAGCGAAUUCCACUCCAAAAGUGUUCCACGCCAUAGCUUUCCCGCCAUAAUCAAUCUCUUCCCUUCAAAAAAAAAUCCCCAAAAUCCAAAAAACCUAAUCAUUCCAUCCCUUCAAAAAAUUCUCAAUGUCAAAUCAAACAAACAGAAAUCCACCAAACAAACAACCUUCAAUCAACCCAAAUUUGCCCCUUAAUUUCCAUUUCAAACUCUUCGCUUUCGAUUUAAACUCAUUAACUCCAUCCCAUUCUCUCUCCUCUUCUUCUUCUUCACGCGACCCGAAUUUCUUCCUCCGCAAAGGUGUACCGGUUUCACGGGUCGAAGUAUUCGGAGUUGUCGUAACCCGGGACUUCAAACCCGACAAAUUCCUUAGGUUUUCUAUUGAUGAUGGUACUGGUUGUAUCCAAUGUAUUCUAUGGUUAAAUCAGCUCACUUCUUCCUACUAUUCACGCCGUCGCACAUCAGAUGUUCAAGUAAUUGCUGAAAUGGCGAACAUUCAUUCUAGCCGGGUUGAACUCGGCUUUAAUGUUCGGGUUCGAGGCAAGUUAUCGGGUUUUCGAGGUUCAAUUCAGGUUACUGUGGAUGAUGUGGUGGUAGAGAGGGAUCCGAAUCACCAGAUUUUGCAUAUGUUGGAUUGUAUUAACUUGGCUCGGAAGCGGUAUGAUGGUCUGUCUUGCAAGAAAUGAGGGAAUUUCCUGAAACAAUUGCCUUCAGAAAGCUGAGCUCCAAGUGCUGGAAAUAAUCCAACCAUAUGCAGCUAGCAGAACCUGAUCAAGACGUACAUAUAGGAUUUUGAUCGGAAAAGAAGUUCUUAAGGGGAGAGUCCUGAACUUUGCAGGUGUUAUAAGGGAACUUUGACAGGCCAUUUUUGUUGUGUUCUAUUUGUUUUGGUCAUUUUAUUCUGAACUAGGAUUAGUAGGGAUGAUAGGUGUGUUUUGUAAAGUUUUGAGGUGUGCUUUAUAGGGGUAUUUGGAAAAGAACAUGUAAAAAAUCGGAGAAGGUUGUAACCUUGUAGGAACAUUUCGAAGUUACAGGGAGUGGUUAUCUGUGUGAACGUGUAAUUUGUAGUAAGUGCAAAAUUUAUCAUGUCCUAUGUUCUUGUAAACCAAGCAUUUACCGGUAUCCCUUAUGUCAAAAGGACCUUCUUCCAAAGUACAAAGAAGGGGAGUGAGGAUUCGAACUUGUGACCUAUCGUUCACAGCACCUCAAUCUUAAUCACUAGGCCACGACAUCCUUGAUAUUUUUUUAACUAAUCUAAAAGAGAACCUAACUAUAUUAUAGUAAUCAACGAAGAGAAAUAGUAAAAUUCAUUCUGGUUGUGUGGGAGGAUUUAGGGAUCGUGAGCCCUUUCACACACCCUUCUAUUAUCAAAAUAUCUCCAUACACUAACCUUUUUUGUAUAAAAAUAAACUCCUCUAUGCAUAGAUGAUUUAUACAAUUACUAUGAGUGAUGUAUAAUUCCCCGAAGAUUAAACUUUUAGUUCACAAAUACAAAGAAGUGUUGUCAACAAUUAGUGGAAAUUUUAAGUAGAAAUCAAAGGGAUGUAUCUUCAUGUUGUCAAAUGCCAACAAAAUUAUAAAUCACACUAUCAAGCAUAUAUUUUUCUAUAAUGGCUACUCUUGGAGAAAGUUGUGGAAUUUUUUAAAAAUAUUUGAAGAAAGAUCUACCCAGAUGCCGCAAGAAUUAAGAUAUACAUUUUGAAGGUCUUUCAAAGUCCGUAUCGACCACUAGGAUUAGUAAAACUUGACUAACUUCUAAGAAGUUUUUUUUAAUUGCACGUAUAAUCCCUCAGUAAUUAUCAAUCUAAAUAUCUAAUAUAUACUGAAACGCCAGAAUUUGAUUUCUUAAUAUUAGAAUUCACAUAAUUAUUCGAAUACCAAACCUUGAAAAUAUCCUUUAAAAUUAGUCAUACUAUCAAUAUUUAAUUUAACUUAAUCUUCUUUAGCAAGAAGAAAUAAUCAUAUGAUGUCAGAUGCUCAUGGAAUACAUAUUAUGGAAGGGAACAUAGAUAAAGAUAGGUUUUUAUAUGAUUAUCUUCUGGUGUGUUAUAGUUAUAGAUGUUUUAUCUUUAGGGUUUCAAAUUGAAAGGGGGACAUUGUUCUCCCAUACUGUGACAGCAUCUGUUCUACACAAAAUGUUACUGGUAAAUGUAAUACAUACCGUAUACAGUACAAAGUUAAGAGUUACAUGUUGGAUGGAUCCAUCAAAAUUAAUAAAAAAGGUUACAUGUUGGAGAAUACAAGACAUCUUUGUCCCAUUUCUGUCACAAUUUUUUUUUUUGCAGCUGCAGAUUUUGCUUUGGAAAUUGCUUCAAAUUUCAGUUUAUUUGUUUUUGUUUAAGGGGUUGUCUUGUAAGAGAUCGCCUAUUUUUAACUUAAAAUUAGACAAUGGUAAGUCCAAUAUUAAAAAGAGAAUUAGCCUAAUAGUUACUAGGUGACUAGUUUGAUUCAUUUAGUGACUAGGUCUACUUUUAUAUUAAAAUUAGACAGUCUCUUUUAAUCAUUUUUGUUUAAUUAAUGGUUUUUUUUCUGUUGGAAGAAAGAGGAAAUCAGGAAA